GCACCCGUAGCUCAACUGGAUAGAGCAUCUGACUACGAAUCAGAAGGUUUCAAGUUCGAAUCUUGACGGGUGCA
rnacentral:tRNA from 1 species